GCCCGGUUAGCUCAAUCGGUAGAGCGUGAGACUCUUAAUCUCAAGGUUGCGGGUAAGUCACUGUUACUUGUCCUCUGCUUGUAGCCCAUGUUAACCCUUGUGCCGUAGGUUCGACCCCCGCAUCGGGCU